rnacentral:rRNA from 1 species
AUUGAAUGCUGGCGGCAGGCCUAACACAUGCAAGUCGAACGAGUGGCGGACGGGUGAGUAAUGUCUGGGCAACUGCCUGAUGGAGGGGGGUAACUCCUGGAAACGGUAGCUAAUACCGCAUACCAUCAGAUGUGCCCAGAUGGGAUUAGCUAGUUGGUGGGGUAACGGCUCACCAAGGCGACGAUCCCUAGCUGGUCUGAGAGGAUGACCAACCACACGGGAACUGAGACACUGUCCAGAAUACUACAGGAGGAAGCAGGGGGGAAUAUUGCACAAGGGGCGCAAGCCUAGUGCAGCCAUGCCGCGUGUAUGAAGAGGGACUGCGGGUUGGAAAGUACUUUCAGCGGGGAGGCGUUACCAGCAGAAGAAGCACCGGCUAACUCCGGGCCAGAGGCCGCGGUAAUAC